rnacentral:lncRNA from 1 species
GUGCAAUGGAGGCAGUCUCUCUGGCCGGGGGUCCCCCGUAACCUCUCUCUCCCCCCCCCAGGUGCAAUGGAGGCCAUCUCUCUGGCCGGGGUGCUCUGGGCCUUCGUGCUGGUUCUCCCGGCGGUGCUGGCCACGGCUCUCUGCAUCGGCUGCCGGGACACGGGCUCUCCUGCCCACGGAGCCCAGGCGGUCGGGGACUACGAGUACAAGUGAGUCCGUCUGUCCCCAUGUCUGUCUGUCUGUCGCACAGCGAGGGAGCUGCCCAGCAGGGGCUUGGGGUCCCCGGGGGAGGGGCGAAGGGUGGGACAGUGGGGUGGGGUGUUAAG